AGCGAACGCUGGCGGCAGGCCUAACACAUGCAAGUCGAACGAACUCUUCGGAGUUAGUGGCGGACGGGUGAGUAACACGUGGGAACGUGCCUUUAGGUUCGGAAUAACUCAGGGAAACUUGUGCUAAUACCGAAUGUGCCCUUCGGGGGAAAGAUUUAUCGCCUUUAGAGCGGCCCGCGUCUGAUUAGCUAGUUGGUGAGGUAAAGGCUCACCAAGGCGACGAUCAGUAGCUGGUCUGAGAGGAUGAUCAGCCACAUUGGGACCGUGACACGGCCCAAACUCCUACGGGAGGCAGCAGUGGGGAAUCUUGCGCAAUGGGCGAAAGCCUGACGCAGCCAUGCCGCGUGAAUGAUGAAGGUCUUAGGAUUGUAAAAUUCUUUCACCGGGGACGAUAAUGACGGUACCCGGAGAAGAAGCCCCGGCUAACUUCGUGCCAGCAGCCGCAGUAA
rnacentral:rRNA from 1 species